AAUUAGCACGCGUUAAGGAUUGAAGUGGCAUCCUUUUUUUGAGGUAGGAUAAAAAAAGAUAGAACGUAAAGCCUGUUAAAAC
rnacentral:sRNA from 1 species